AUUAAGAUGGUCGAUUAAGGCAGUAAACUGUAAAUUUACCUAUGAGAAUUUUUCUCUCUUAGUAA
rnacentral:tRNA from 1 species